rnacentral:rRNA from 1 species
UGAGGAAUAUUGGACAAUGGGCGCAAGCCUGAUCCAGCAAUACCGCGUGAGUGAAGAAGGCCUUAGGGUUGUAAAGCUCUUUCAGCAGGGAAAAUAAUGAUGGUACCUGCAAAAGAAGUCCCGGCUAACUCCGUGCCAGCAGCCGCGGUAAUACGGAGGGGACUAGCGUUGUUCGGAUUUACUGGGCGUAAAGGGUGCGUAGGCGGCCUGAUAAGUUASAAGUGAAAGCCUGGGGCUCAACCCCAGAACUGCUUCUAAAACUAUUAGGCUAGAGUAUGGGAGAGGAUAGUGGAAUUCCUAGUGUAGAGGUGAAAUUCUUAGAUAUUAGGAGGAACACCGGUGGCGAAAGCGACUAUCUGGAACAUUACUGACGCUGAGGCACGAAAGCGUGGGGAGCAAACAGGAUUAGAUACCCUGGUAGUCCACGCUGUAAACGAUGAAUGCUAGAUAUCGGAUUUAUUCGGUGUCGGAGAUAACUUGAUAAGCAUYCCGCCUGGGGAGUACGGUCGCAAGAUUA